rnacentral:rRNA from 1 species
UACAGAGGUCUCAAGCGUUUGUUCGGAUUCAUUGGGCGUAAAGGGUGCGUAGGCGGCGCGGUAAGUCGGGUGUGAAAUCUUGGAGCUUAACUCCGAAACUGCAUUCGAUACUGCCGUGCUUGAGGACUGGAGAGGAGACUGGAAUUUACGGUGUAGCGGUGAAAUGCGUAGAUAUCGUAAGGAAGACCAGUGGCGAAGGCGGGUCUCGUUGGACAGUUCCUGGACGCUGAGGCACGAAGGUCAGGGGAGCAAAACGGG